rnacentral:rRNA from 1 species
GAUGAACGCUGGCGGCGUGCCUAAUACAUGCAAGUCGAGCGAACAGACGAGGAGCUUGCUCCUCUGACGUUAGCGGCGGACGGGUGAGUAACACGUGGAUAACCUACCUAUAAGACUGGGAUAACUUCGGGAAACCGGAGCUAAUACCGGAUAAUAUAUUGAACCGCAUGGUUCAAUAGUGAAAGACGGCUUUGCUGUCACUUAUAGAUGGAUCCGCGCCGCAUUAGCUAGUUGGUAAGGUAACGGCUUACCAAGGCAACGAUGCGUAGCCGACCUGAGAGGGUGAUCGGCCACACUGGAACUGAGACACGGUCCAGACUCCUACGGGAGGCAGCAGUAGGGAAUCUUCCGCAAUGGGCGAAAGCCUGACGGAGCAACGCCGCGUGAGUGAUGAAGGUCUUCGGAUCGUAAAACUCUGUUAUUAGGGAAGAACAAAUGUGUAAGUAACUAUGCACGUCUUGACGGUAACUAAUCAGAAAGCCACGGCUAACUACGUG